UCCCCAGUGGCGCAAUUGGUUAGCGCGCCGUACUUAUAAUGCGGAGGUUGUGAGUUCGAUCCUCACCUGGGGAA
rnacentral:tRNA from 1 species